rnacentral:rRNA from 1 species
GUGAGGAAUAUUGCGCAAUGGAGGCAACUCUGACGCAGCCAUGCCGCGUGCAGGAAGAAGGCGCUACGCGUUGUAAACUGCUUUUAACCGGGAAGAAACCCCAGGACGUGUCCUGGGUUGACGGUACCGGAGGAAUAAGCACCGGCUAACUUCGUGCCAGCAGCCGCGGUAAUACGAAGGGUGCAAGCGUUAUCCGGAUUCAUUGGGUUGAAAGGGUGCGUAGGCGGAGCGUUAAGUCAGUGGUGAAAUCCUGCAGCUUAACUGUAGACUUGCCAUUGAUACUGGCGCUCUUGAGUGCGCUUGAAGUGGGCGGAAUGUGCCGUGUAGCGGUGAAAUGCUUAGAUAUGGCACAGAACACCAAUUGCGAAGGCAGCUCACUAAGGCGAUACUGACGCUGAGGCACGAAAGCGUGGGGAUCGAACAGGAUUAGAAACCCCGGUAGUCC